rnacentral:rRNA from 1 species
GUAACGCGUGAGAAUCUGCCCUCAGGAGGGGGAUAACGGUUGGAAACGACCGCUAAUACCCCAUAUGCCGCGAGGUGAAAUGAAUUUCGCCUGAGGAUGAGCUCGCGUCUGAUUAGCUAGUUGGUGGGGUAAGAGCCUACCAAGGCUUCGAUCAGUAGCUGGUCUGAGAGGAUGAUCAGCCACACUGGGACUGAGACACGGCCCAGACUCCUACGGGAGGCAGCAGUGGGGAAUUUUCCGCAAUGGGCGAAAGCCUGACGGAGCAACGCCGCGUGAGGGAUGAAGGCCUCUGGGCUGUAAACCUCUUUUCUCAAGGAAGAAGAUCUGACGGUACUUGAGGAAUAAGCCACGGCUAAUUCCGUGCCAGCAGCCGCGGUAAUACGGGAGUGGCAAGCGUUAUCCGGAAUUAUUGGGCGUAAAGCGUCCGCAGGCGGCCUUGUAAGUCUGUUGUCAAAGCGUGGAGCUUAACUCCAUUUCGGCAAUGGAAACUGUGAGGCUUGAGUGUGGUAGGGGCAGAGGGAAUUCCCGGUGUAGCGGUGAAAUGCGUAGAUAUCGGGAAGAACACCAGUGGCGAAGGCGCUCUGCUGGGCCAUAACUGACGCUCAUGGACGAAAGCCAGGGGAGCGAAAGGGAUUAGAUACCCCUGUAGUCCUGGCCGUAAACGAUGAACACUAGGUGUCGGGGGAAUCGACCCCCUCGGUGUCGUAGCCAACGCGUUAAGUGUUCCGCCUGGGGAGUACGCACGCAAGUGUGAAACUCAAAGGAAUUGACGGGGGCCCGCACAAGCGGUGGAGUAUGUGGGUUUAAUUCGAUGCAACGCGAAGAACCUUACCAGGGUUUGACAUCCUGCGAAUCCCUAAGAAAUUGGGGGAGUGCCUUCGGGAGCGCAGAGACAGGUGGUGCAUGGCUGUCGUCAGCUCGUGUCGUGAGAUGUUGGGUUAAGUCCCGCAACGAGCGCAACCCACGUCUUUAGUUGCCAGCAUUUAGUUGGGCACUCUAGAGAGACCGCCGGUGAUAAACCGGAGGAAGGUGUGGAUGACGUCAAGUCAUCAUGCCCCUUACAUCCUGGGCUACACACGUACUACAAUGCUACGGACAAAGGGCAGCAAACUCGCGAGAGCUAGCAAAUCCCAUAAACCGUGGCUCAGUUCAGAUCGUAGGCUGCAACUCGCCUACGUGAAGGAGGAAUCGCUAGUAAUCGCAGGUCAGCAUACUGCGGUGAAUACGUUCCCGGGCCUUGUACACACCGCCCGUCACACCAUGGAAGUUGGCCACGCCCGAAGUCGUUACUCCAACCCUUGUGGAGGAGGAUGCCGAAGGUGGGGCUGAUGACUGGGGUGAAGUCGUAACAAGGUAGCCGUACCGGAAGGUGC